UACAGAGGGGGCAAGCGUUAUUCGGAAUUAUUGGGCGUAAAGGGCGUGUAGGCGGCUUGGCAAGUGGAUGGUGAAAUCCCUCGGCUUAACCGAGGAACUGCCGUCCAAACUGCUUCGCUUGUGACCGGGAGAGGUGAGUGGAAUUCCCAGUGUAGCGGUGAAAUGCGUAGAGAUUGGAAAGAACACCGAUGGCGAAGGCACUUUACUGGGCUAUUACUAACACUCAGAGACGAAAGCUAGGGUAGCAAAUGGG
rnacentral:rRNA from 1 species